rnacentral:rRNA from 1 species
CCUACGGGAGGCUGCAGUGGGGAAUAUUGCACAAUGGGCGAAAGCCUGAUGCAGCAACGCCGCGUGAGCGAUGAAGGCCUUCGGGUCGUAAAGCUCUGUCCUCAAGGAAGAUAAUGACGGUACUUGAGGAGGAAGCUCCGGCUAACUACGUGCCAGCAGCCGCGGUAAUACGUAGGGGGCGAGCGUUAUCCGGAUUUACUGGGGGUAAAGGGUGCGUAGGUGGUUUCUUAAGUCAGAGGUGAAAGGCUAGGGCUCAACCGUAUGAAGCCUUUGAAACUGGGAGACUUGAGUGGAGGAGAGGAGAGUGGAAUGCCUGGUGUAGCGGUGAAAUGCGUAGAUAGUAGGAAGAACACCAGUUGCGAAGGCAGCGCUCUGGACUGUAACUGACACUGAGGCACGAAAGCGUGGGGAGCAAACAGGAUUAGAUACCCUAGUAGUC